rnacentral:lncRNA from 1 species
UAUAACUGGUUAAGCAUAAUCUUCCAAAGCUCGAUUUUCAUCGUUAUUGUCAGCCAUCUCUUCUUCUCUAUCAGAAUUAGAGUUAUCGAAAGAAUCUACACUCGUUGGGCCAGAAGAACUAUUGUCCUCUUCUACACUGCUAGUUUGGGCACUAGCUGAUAUAGACUUCUCAAAAGUGUUGCUCUUCAACCGUUCAAGUCUUUGGCCUAUCUCAGCAAGUGUAUCUGACAUAUACUACCUGAGAAACAAAAAUAAAACGAAAUUAGGGUUUGAGAAAAAGCAAUUAUAGAGGACUGAAAU